rnacentral:lncRNA from 1 species
UUCCCAGGCUAGGGGUCUAAUCGGAGCUGUAGCUGCUGGUCUACACCACAGCCACAGCAAUGCAGGAUCUGAGCAGCGUCUGCGACCUACACCGCAGCUUACGGCAACGCCGGAUCCUUAACCCACUGAGUUUAGGCCAGGGAAUGAAUCUGCAACCUCAUGGUUCCUAGUCGGAUUCGUUAACCACUGAGCCACACCGGGAACUCCUCCUCUCCUGUAUUUUUUAUCCUUCUCCAUUUUUCAUUCUGGGUGGUUUCUGUUGACCUGUCUUCAUUUAACCAGUUCUCUCUUUGACUAAUCUGAGUUUAAUUGAAAUUAAGAACUCUAUGGAUUUAUUGUAUUGAAAAAUACAGUAAAAACUGAAAAGUUUGGGUGCUCUCAAAUUUGCUGUUUCUUUUUAUGGAUUCCUACUUCCUGCUACCUUUUUCAAGCUUGGUUUUUAUUUCCUAAAACAGGGUAAAUAUAGUUGUUUUAUAAUCUCCUUUUCUCAAUUCCUUUAUCUGGAGUCCCUUUGGGUCUUUGACUAUUUACGAUGGUUCUUACUCAUGAUGUUUUGUCUAUUCAUGUGUUUGUGUGCUGGACAUAGAACUUGAAACAUUAUUUAUAGAAAUAAUUAGAGGCCUUAGGUGUCUUUUUCCAAGGAGGAUCUUCAUUUGCUCUUUCCAGGUGCUUGAGGGCACUAGCAAACCAGGAUUACUUUUAUCCAGGUUUAAGAGUUUGAGAUUUUCUGGACUAUCCAAGUGGUUUGAAGCUGAGUCCAUGGGAAGACUGAUUUACUUCUAGUUCACUCUUACUCCUGGGAUGCUCCCCUUUAGGGCCUCGAUCCUCUGGCUGGGGGGAAGGCAGGAGUAAGUGGGUUUACUGCGUGUCUCCCUGCACAGGACCUGGAAGGGCAGACAUGCCACUAGGCCUCUUGGCCACCUCUAGCAGAUCAGCAGUUGUCCCCAGGUUUCACCUCUUUGGGUUUCCAGUUCUUGCAGGCUGUUGUCUUUGUAAUUCCUCACUAUCCUGUUAGCUUUUUAAAAGGGGUGUGUGUGUGUGUGUGUGUGUGUGUGUGUGUGUGUGUGUGUGUGUGUGUAUUUCAUCUGUUUUUUUCACCAGGUUAUUUAAUCUGUCAUUAUUGAACGCAGAAAAUGAGAUCUUAUUUUCACGGGCUCAUAUUAUUCUAACAUUCACCUUGAAAUAAGUGACCAUAAGGUGAGAGACACGGCACUAUAGUCCCAGUUGCAUCUCAUUGUGACACUGAGUGUGAGGUGGCACAGCUGGUCAGGAAACCAAGCGGUAUUGGUUGGAGCGUUCUCCAAGAAUCAGUUAUCUAGAGAUGGUCUCCAGAUUCCCAUUGUGGUGCAGUGGAAAGGAAUCCGUCUAGUAUCCAUGAGGUUGCAGGUUCCAUCCCUGGCCUCACUCAGUGGGUUAGGGAUCCUGCAUUGCCAUGAGCUGUGGUGUAGGUCACAGACAGUCUCAGAUCUUGUGUUGCUGUGGCUGCAAUAUAGGCCGGCAGCUGUAGCUCCAAUUCGACCCCUAGCCUGGGAAUCUCCGUAUGCCAUGGGUGCAACCCUAAAAUCAAAAAAUAAAAAUAAAAAGUAAAAAUGAAAAUAUGGGAGCUGCUGUUAUGGCUCAGUGGGAUAAGAACCCGACUAGUAUCCAUGAAGAUGUGGGUUCACUCUCUGGCCUCGCUCAGUAGGUUAGGGAUCCGGUGUUGCCGUGAGCUGUGGUAUAUGUAGGUCACAGACACGGCUCAGAUCCCAUGUUGCUGUGACUGUGGUGUAGGCCAGCAGUUGUAGCUCCGACUUGACCCCUGGCGUGGGAACA